UACUGAACUGACUCAGCACUAUUCAUUGAAAAGACUGUCAUUUCCCCACUGCUCCACAUGUCCACCUUUGUUUUUCAACUCUAUUCUGCUGCUAUCAAUACACCUGACUACAUUUCAGUCUUCAUCAUUCUGAGUUUUCUUUUUCCAAGAAAUUCCAAUCUUAUUUUGGUAAAGGUCUCUUCCAUUACAUCUUUGAAUUUUUUUUAUUCCUUCUGCUUUAUUCUUUAACCCAGGAUAUCAAGUAUCCACAAGUUCAAAACUCAUCUUCUGCAAACCAUAUCCUUCUUUCUCUAAUGGUUCUCAUUCCUUUGACUUUUUCCUCCACAUUAUGUGCAAUUUUUUUCAAGCUUGCCCUUCCUUGUACUAAUUCCAGUUUCUGUCUGGUACUCUGAUGAACAUCUCGGUUCUGUGGAUUAUUCAGUCCUUGCCUUUUCCCUAGCUCUGCAAUCUCUCUCCUCCCCUUUCUGUUGUCCUAGCAUCUCAUCUUUAAUCUCGGGUCAUAAAUGUCACGUUCCGUUUAACAUCUUUGAUAAAAUAAAGCUUUUGUUUUUCUGUUUACUCAAGGUAACAUCUUCUACAAUAGAUUCUUCAUGUCUUUUAUCUGUUUUGUUCUUUUUUGUUGUAUGUGAAUACCAUAUUUUUUUCAUUUACUUAUUUUUUACGGCAGCAGCUCAAUCUGGAUUUCUUUGUGCCUAAAUCUAACAAACAUAGAGUCUCCUUGGCUUCCCUCCCGUGUCAUCAGAGCCCACUAGUGCCUUUCCUUCAACUAGCAUUGAGAAGGUAAUGGAGCUAGGUGUAUGGAUAGUCACAACUGGUGACCUUACCUGUCAACAAAAUUAUGUUAAAACUCAAAUUUUAGAGAUCACUCCCCCUACUCGAGUAUACAGCCUUUUAGGAACCACUCUUGAGUUUAGGAUUGUAGGUGAAUGGGCGUGAACAGGUUUUCUGGAAACUGCCUUGACAACAAUCCCUGUUCAUACUCAAGCCGGCAGACAAUCUGGCAACCUCCACCCCCUGUACCCGCCCCAGGCAGCUCCGGGGCAGGCACAAGCUCUGAAAGGACAGUGUUUACCCAGCUGGGGUAAUAAAUUCUCCCAGAGCACUGAGACCUAUUUAACGUAGAAUGGGUGUUGACAUAUGUCAUUUUCCCAGGAAAGAGUUUUCUAACGUUGCACCAUAGAAAUGGACUGGCAAAAUGACUCUCCACACAUGGAUGAACUCUUUUCUAUUAAGGAUGGUUACAUCUUGAGCAAAAGAGGAAAACUGCUGCCUUGUAUGAAACUGAAUUCUAAGUGGAAAGAAGAUAACUCCGUCUUCCUUCCGGAAACUUGGCAUGACCCCUGGCUCUGACUGGGAGCUUCUCCUCCCUGUUCCCACGGUGUCCUGUGAACCCAUCAACCACACCACUUACAGCACAAUGGUGAAACCACUGACCUGCAUGCCCGUCCUCUCUCCCACACUAUACACUCUAUCCUAUUCAUCUCUGGCAUUCUAACAUCUGGACAGAGGCUGUUUCCUAGCAAUGGGCUCAGGCUGGGUAAAAUCACCUGGAACAAAAUGUCAUGGGUCCCUUCCUGCUCUGUGAGUAUCCUGCCAUACGCACACUUAUCCACCCUGCCUGCUCCUCCCCUUGGCCGGCAGCCUAAGGACUAUUAAUACAGAACAGCGUGAUCAGCUCCCACGGCCUUUGCCCAUGACCACCUGCCACAUCGCUUUCAGCAUCACGCUCCGCUUUCAGUACAAAACGGGAAGGAAAAGUGGCACGGGCAACACAGCAACUGAAAUGUGGUCGCAGGGCCUUCACCGUCUUGCACAGUGGAAGAAACCCGUAUGUGAUGUGAGAGCUCCAUGUAAAAAGCAGUCACGAAGCUGCGGUAUUGGAAGGAUCUGCACAUCAUCUGGCAAUCAGCAAGGAAUGGACCAACAAAGAGGGAGCUCAGAGGAACAGAUACACAGAAGAGAUCCUUGAGUAGAGAUGCCGCCUCGCAAUCUUCACUUCUGAGAACAAGGGAGUAAUCAUAGGCCAAUCUUGGGAAAUGCACCCAGAAAGGAAGUAUCUAGAAGUAUGGUUUAGAGGAAGACUGCAGUGUGGAAGAAUGAAAUAGAACAACAAUAAGAACAGCAUCACUGGGGCAUAAACUGACAGAAGACGUGGAAGGGCUCACACUCCACACGUGACACAAAAUUCCAAUCAGCUAUAUCCUCAGGGUAAAACUGAAUGGCAUAACAUCCUGAAUGUGUCCAAUCUCGUCUACAGCCUGAACUGGACCAAAGACCAAAGUCCACACCCCUCAAUCUCCCCCAGUCUUUAGUUGUAAUAAUAUAAAUAGUUUAUAUCCACCAUAUUUUCCCUUGUAUUGGGAUCGUGGAUAAUUGUUUUGCUGACCAGAGUAGAUGCUGAGUCCCUAGAAGAAAGGGAUCAUGUGUUUUAUUCAUCUUUGUAUUUUCACUCUCUCUUCCUUCCCCAAUGCUUAUUCCCUCUCUUCCUUACACACAGUAGAUAUACAAAUGUAUUCAAAUGCAUUGAAUCCAAGCUUUCCAGCCAACAUUAAAUCUGAUGUUGGCAAAGAAAUAGGAUAGGAAGCUACACCAGAAAAGUCCCUGAGAUGUAAUUCUUCUGUAAGUAUAAAUUUAGAGGGGGGUGGGGGGAGGAGGUAAUUCUGACUAUCUUAGCAAGGUCAUAUGGGGUGAGGAACAAUGGAAGACCUUUACACUUAAGCCAUCUUUGACCCAACCUUGCUUUUAGAAUAGAACUGAACGUAACAAUCCAUCAGCAGCCAAAGGAUGACAUAAAAGGAUGCCCUUGAUGUUCAACAUUCCUAAAUUCCUUCUCGUACUAUGAAGGCAAAGAGAUCUGUAAUCAUCUCUUCCUAGUUUGAAGAUUUCCAGGGACUACUCAUGUUGCAAGCCAGUAAUUCCAUCCAAUCUAAGAUGCCUCAUUAAUCACUAAGAAUUUGAAAAGGUCCUGACAAGAGAUCUCUUAACUUCAGAAUUGUUAAGAUCUUUUCAACUGUUGGAUGCCAACCCUUGCCCAAUUAGUUUCCCUAACAAUUUCUGCGUCUAGUGCCCUCAGAGUGGGGACACAGUGACAUCUCUCACAUCUUUAAUUCUGGAAGUAUUCUUCCUUCCUCAAAGUACUGACCCAAUAAAUGGUCUAUGAGACAUCCGUUGAAGAGUCCAUGAUAGCCGUCUUCACAAUGAAUUAAAGAACGUCAUUUCCUAAUACCAUUUCAGGCAUAAUUAUUCUGCUACUAACCAUCGUUGUACUCUGUUCGAGCUCAGGGAGAAAACAGUCCAGGGCAAUUUCAGGGCCUCUGUAGUGUUCAUUAAUCUUUCAACAAUCUGAGUAUACUGUCAAGAACUGAGCAGGGACCCGAUUCCAUAGCCAUGAUAAAGAUUUUAGGCUUUUUGUAUCAUCUGAACCAGUCCUAUAAUCCUCUGCUUAAAUCAGGUACAAAGACAUAAUAGAUGCAGUCCCAAUCCUGGAUUGCUUUAAACUAAACAAAUGUAUUUGGCAGCCACUGUCCAACCCUUGAAUAUUUAAUACCAAAUAAGCCCCUUCUAAAGAUCAAAUCGUUAGGCUGCCACUUAGGCAUGUUUUGUAGCUGAUUCAUCAUGGAGGACCCACCGGGAUACUGUUCUAUUUAAAGUCAGCUAUUGCACUGGACCAAGUCAAAGUCUUAUCUUGCUCAAGACAUUAAAUUCUUAAUAUUUCUCCUAUUUUCCAACAGGAGUAAUUUUUUCCCAUCUCACUGGGGCAGAAUUCAGAUAUCUCAAUCGAGUCACAAAGCGAUGCAGAAGAUUCACGGUUCUUUAUAGGCAUCCUUUCAGCCGCUGCUUGUCAGGAGAGAGCCUGGGCCUCCAAGGAAGAGUAGAAGGCAAGGUCCUAUCCAUGUAACAAUGCUGGGAACCACCUUCAUAACUGGCAGCAGCAUAACCAGCUCUCACUUCAAGCAGCCCAUAAUGAAUAGAAAAUUCAGUCCUGACUACAAUCCAGCACUAGUCAAUGGCUCACUGAAGACGCCUGAUGUUUGUGAGACAGAAAGAGAGGUCUUGCUAACCCUUCCCCAUAGUUCCAACACUGCACUUGUGUUAAGACAAUGAAGAUCAAUAGAGGGAACAUUUAACUUGGUCCCGAGAAGAAACAUCAUCAUUGGGCUGUACUGGGGGGUACACAUUCAUCCUUUCCCCAAGGUCAAAGCUGGGGCAGCCCAUUUAAUCAGUCCUUGUAUCAACUGAAAAAGUGUACCAUGAGGAUGUUGGCCAGGGGGUUACGCAGUAUCUGUUUCAUAAGGACCCUGGCAAUAAACUCCUGAGUAUCCAAAUUCAUAGUAAGAAAAAUAAGAAAAACAGUGUAACAUGGGUGUUUUCCCAUUUUACCUCAUCUGUCACAAAAUUUGGCAAAAUUCAGUAUUUAAUCAGAGUGAUUUUAAUGAGAUCACUUGCAAUGCCUAUUCAUUUGCCUCCUUCUAAAUGAUAUUUGCUCUGUUUUAUCCUUUGAGUAUGUUGUAUCCAAUCUCAUAAACUGCUUCAAACCAUAUGCUAGAAAUAAGACAUAUAAGCUAUGCCA